CAAAACACACAAACACAUUCGUCUCUCACAACUACUAGCUAGCACCAACACAAGUUUAAUAACUAGCUAGCUAGCUAGUCUCUCUCGAUAGAUAGCUAGCUUACCAAGGCUCUCUUUCAGAGUUUUCAUGGCUUCCUCACACAAAAUUGUGUUGGUGCUUCUCUUGUUGACAGCAUCGUCGUCCAUGCUACAAGCUAGGUCUAGGAUGGCGCCAAGUGACGGCCGGCAUGCACAAGCAGACCAAGCGCACGUCAAGGAGAGCUUGCCGAGCCCUUCCCAAGAUUUGACAAGCAGAGAUAUGGCACCGCCGAUGCCACCCGCACCGCCGCUUGCCGGCGGCGGCAGCAAGACCGAGAUCGCCGUCGCCAAGCGUUGGGGGACGACGCAGGCGGACGGGUCGGUGCCGAGCCCAGGCAUAGGCCAUCCGCAAAUGCUACAAUAAUCGUCUGCGCAAGCAAAUGACUAUAUAAAUCUAAGAAAAAAGCAAUGACUAUAUAUAUAUAUACAUAUAGAUACAAAAUAAAGCUAGGUAUAUACGACCUAGGACCUAGCCAUAUUGCGGGAAUUAUGAGGCAUACCAAAAGGAAGAAUGUCUACGUAUAUCAGUAUAUCUGUAUAUGCAUGUAAGUUUUUGAUUCAUAUAUGAAAUGGACUAUUAGCAUUUCCUAAUAACAUACAUUUUCAUGGCAUAUAUUUAUAGUACAAGCUAGUGUACAACUCAUAAGAAUGGUGAUGUGAUGAGUGCCAAUAUAUAAUGUUGCUAAGAUGCCUCGUACCUCAGUUCUAGCUAGAUUUGUUGCACUGAAUUCCUUAGACAGAUAUUUGUAGUACCGUUGGAAUUAUGUGUGUUUCUUGUAAAAACAAAAACUCUCUUCUACCUGCUUAUGACCAUCUUCAAGAAAAAUGAGCAGAUAAGAUCAUGAGAUUAAAGCUACCGUAGAGA
rnacentral:lncRNA from 1 species